rnacentral:rRNA from 1 species
GAUGAACGCUGGCGGCGCGCCUAACACAUGCAAGUCGAACGAUUAAAGCACCUUCGGGUGUGUAUAAAGUGGCGAACGGCUGAGUAACACGUGGGCAACCUGCCCCCUUCAUUGGGAUAGCCACGGGAAACCGUGGAUAAUACCGAAUACUUCGAGACUUCCGCAUGGAAGACUCGAGAAAGCUCCGGCGGAGAGGGAUGGGCCCGCGGCCUGUUAGCUUGUUGGUGGGGUAACGGCCUACCAAGGCAAUGAUGGGUAGCUGGGUUGAGAGACCGACCAGCCAGAUUGGGACUGAGACACGGCCCAGACUCCUACGGGAGGCAGCAGUGGGGAAUCUUGCACAAUGGGCGAAAGCCUGAUGCAGCGACGCCGCGUGCGGGAUGAAGGCCUUCGGGUUGUAAACCGCUUUCAGCAGGGACGAGGCGAAAGUGACAGUACCUGCAGAAGAAGCCCCGGCUAACUACGUG